rnacentral:rRNA from 1 species
CCUACGGGUGGCAGCAGUGGGGAAUAUUGCACAAUGGGGGAAACCCUGAUGCAGCGACGCCGCGUGAGUGAAGAAGUAUUUCGGUACGUAAAGCUCUAUCAGCAGGGAAGAAAAAAAGUCCUUUGGACUUUGGACGGUACCGGACCAAGAAGCCCCGGCUAACUACGUGCCAGCAGCCGCGGUAAUACGUAGGAUGCGAGCGUUAUCCGGAUUUAUUGGGUUUAAAGGGUGCGCAGGCGGAAGAUCAAGUCAGCGGUAAAAUGGAGAGGCUCAACCUCUUCGAGCCGUUGAAACUGGUUUUCUUGAGUGAGUGAGAAGUAUGCGGAAUGCGUGGUGUAGCGGUGAAAUGCAUAGAUAUCACGCAGAACUCCGAUUGCGAAGGCAGCAUACCGGCGCUCAACUGACGCUCAUGCACGAAAGUGUGGGUAUCGAACAGGAUUAGAUACCCGUGUAGUC